AGCAGCCGCGGUAAUUCCAGCUCCAAUAGCGUAUAUUAAAGUUGUUGCAGUUAAAAAGCUCGUAGUUGAAUUUCGGGGUCAUCAGGUUGGUCGUGCCAACGGUAUGCACUGGCCUUGGUGAUCCCUCCUUCUUGAAGAACCGUGAUGCCAUUAAUUUGGUGCUGCGGGGAAACAGGACUGUUACUUUGAAAAAAUUAGAGUGUUUAAAGCAAGCUAACGCUUGAAUACAUUAGCAUGGAAUAAUAGAAUAGGACGUUCGAUCCUAUUUUGUUGGUUUCUAGGGUUGACGUAAUGAUUAAUAGGGAUAGUUGGGGGCAUUAGUAUUCAAUUGUCAGAGGUGAAAUUCUUGGAUUUAUUGAAGACUAACUACUGCGAAAGCAUUUGCCAAGGAUGUUUUCAUUAAUCAAGAACGAAAGUUAGGGGAUCGAAGACGAUCAGAUACCGUCGUAGUCUUAACCAUAAACUAUGCCGACUAGGGAUCGGAUGAUGUUAAUUUUUAAUGACUCAUUCGGCGCCUUAC
rnacentral:rRNA from 1 species